CACACCCACAGAGCCAUUGCCUCCAAAUGGAACUGAUGUCAAAAUGGAACUGAACCAAUCAAGUCCCAAAGAAAUAUUUAGCAACAACCAGGCAGAGUUGAAGUGUAUCAUUACUGGACAAGACCCGAAUGUUGUAAAUCAAAUUCAAAUCACUUGGCAAAUCAAUGGAUCCCCUGUGACCAACACCAUCCCAACAACACAGUCGGGAGUCAGCACAAUGACUCUUACCCUCACUGAGUGGUACAAAGUCAACAACGUGCGCUGUUCUGCCAGGAAAGACGAUAUGACACUAGCUAGUCAGGUUCUGACUUUCCGCAAAGGAGAUCGGAGCGAGCCAAAAGUAACAGUCCACAUCCUCCCAGAUGAGGACAUCAUCGAUGAGGUCACUCUGGUGUGUCUGGUCUCCAGUCGGAUGCAGCAGGAUUACUACAUUGCCUGGUCAGAACAUAUUGGAACAAACCCCCCCAUCUAUACUGAUGGCAUUAACUUCCCCCCAGAGAAGACCAAACAAGGCUACUCAGUUGCAAGUAUUUACACCGCCACCAAAGAAAAGUGGAACAACUUCAUCAUGUUCUCCUGCAACGUAUGGCCUGGUAGUGGCGACAAGCCUAUUAAAUCCAGAGAUGUGUCUAAGGCCCUGAGAAACUCAUUUGAAUGUGAUAAAUAGUAGAUUCAGCUUUAAAUGUGGCAGUUUGUGCUAAUGUGUUGUUCUGUCUCUGUGUGUACUCUCUGCCAUGAGAACCUGUCUUUGUGAUUGUAAUUUACUAUUGUUUGUCAUAUUGUGUUUCAAUCUGUCUACGUCACAUUGUCUAACAGCUUGAGAAGUGUGCUGACUGUUUCAAAUAAAUGUUGCAUGGAGAC